GCAAACUUGGUCAUUUAGAGGAAGUAAAAGUCGUAACAAGGUUUCCGUAGGUGAACCUGCGGAAGGAUCAUUAUAGAAUAAACUUGGUGGACUGUUGCUGGCUUCUCUGAGGAGCAUGUGCACGUCUGUCAUCUUUAUAUCUCCACCUGUGAACCUUUUGUAGACUUGGAAACAACUUUAUUCUGAGGAAACUCAGUUUGUGAGGACUUGUAGGCUUUGUUUAAAAGCCAGCUUUCCUUGAGUGUCCAGGCCUAUGUAUUUUUUUUAUACACACCAAAAAAUGUAUUAGAAUGUCAAUUUGGAAGGUCUUUGCACCUAUAAAGCAUUAUACAACUUUCAGCAACGGAUCUCUUGGCUCUCGCAUCGAUGAAGAACGCAGC
rnacentral:misc_RNA from 1 species